AAAAAACAAAAAAUGGCGAACGCAAUAUUAACCAAAUCGAAUUGGGAAAAAAAUUAGCCAAACUCAACAACUCAGCAAAGCCAAAUAUGAGAUUGUAGAUCGCAAAAGAAACACAUUGAAAAAGAUAUUACCAGCUCAUGAGGAAGAAAAACCUCAACUUAACAAAUAUCUUUCAACGGUAGAUCUGCGACUGUAGCUCAUGAAAUCGACAACAUUUAAUCG
rnacentral:lncRNA from 1 species